rnacentral:rRNA from 1 species
UACGUAGGGUGCAAGCGUUAAUCGGAAUUACUGGGCGUAAAGCGUGCGCAGGCGGUGAUGUAAGACAGUUGUGAAAUCCCCGGGCUCAACCUGGGAACUGCAUCUGUGACUGCAUCGCUGGAGUGCGGCAGAGGGGGAUGGAAUUCCGCGUGUAGCAGUGAAAUGCGUAGAUAUGCGGAGGAACACCGAUGGCGAAGGCAAUCCCCUGGACCUGAACUGACGCUCAUGCACGAAAGCGUGGGGAGCAAACAGG